UACGGAGGGGGCAAACGUUGCUCGGAAUUAUUGGGCGUAAAGCGCACGUAGGCGGCCGACUAAGUCGGGUGUGAAAGCCCUGGGCUCAACCCAGGAAGUGCACUCGAAACUGCUCGGCUUGAGUAUGGAAGAGGGUUGCGGAAUUCCCGGUGUAGAGGUGAAAUUCGUAGAUAUCGGGAGGAACACCAGUGGCGAAGGCGGCAACCUGGGCCAAUACUGACGCUGAGGUGCGAAAGCGUGGGGAGCAAACAGG
rnacentral:rRNA from 1 species